GACCCCUUAGCUCAGUGGUAGAGCGUGUGAUUCCAGUGCGUGAGUGGAUUAGAUGGUCCCUAGAUUUCCACAAGGUCAAGCGUUCAACUCGCUUAGGGGUCA